rnacentral:lncRNA from 1 species
AUAUCUGUUUUGUAAGUUUCAAUUCCUGUUGAGUUUAGUUUGGAUUGAAUAUUCCCUCCCUCCCUUUGGAUCUGUUUCGACCUACUUUUUGGCUGAACUCACUGAUGUCUUGCUGAUGAUGCUCAUUUUUCUAUUGAGUGUUGAGUUCAUUUGUUGAGAUAUUAAACACAACUUAGAGAUCUAAAGUUGUUUGUUAUGAAUUCUUUGAGUUCGGAGAUUUAUGCGCUACAUGAAUUUGUUUAAUACAUUGCAUUUUGCAGAAGAUCGACACCAAGAAAGGCAGCUGCUGCUCAUAGCUCAUUUUUCUACUAAGUGUUGAGUUCAUGUGUUGGGUAUAUUCAACAAAACUUAGAGUUCUAUAUAUGUUUGUUAUAAAUUUUGAUUUGGAAGAUUUGUGCCUAUAGGAUCUGAUUGACACUUUUCGAUAAGUGAUUGCAUUUUGCAGAUGCUUUUCAAUAAUGGAGAUUUGCAUUUUGCAGAAGACAGCGGAGAAGGCAGCUGCUCGCAACUUUGAAAGAGAAUUAUGUCUUAGCUAUCUCGUUAGAUAGUUAUUAUGUUAGUACUACUACUUCAAGAGCUUAUAAGAUUCUAUAGAUUUUGUAAUUUUGUAAAUUUUUUCAGGUCACUUUUUUAUUGAUACGACUUUGUAUAUUUCUUUUUCAAAUUUGAAAUAAAUAGAAAAUAUUUUAUUUCU